rnacentral:pre_miRNA from 1 species
CUUGUAUGUGGAUGUUGUUCAGCACCAAGGACAGGUGUGUUUACCUGUGCAUGUUUUGUGUUCAGCACCAAGGGCAGGUGUGUUUGCCU